ACCCAGUGUCGAGUCCAAAAUAGGACAAAAUGCGCAUCCUGGAU
rnacentral:hammerhead_ribozyme from 1 species